rnacentral:rRNA from 1 species
UACGUAGGGGGCUAGCGUUGUCCGGAAUCAUUGGGCGUAAAGCGCGUGUAGGCGGUCCGGUAAGUCCGCUGUGAAAGUCGGGGGCUCAACCCUCGAAUGCCGGCCGAUACUGUCGGACUAGAGUCCGGAAGAGGCGAGUGGAAUUCCUGGUGUAGCGGUGAAAUGCGCAGAUAUCAGGAGGAACACCAAUGGCGAAGGCAGCUCGCUGGGACGGUACUGACGCUGAGGCGCGAAAGCGUGGGGAGCAAACAGG